UUCCACUGUUGCUAACAGUAGUACCUGCUGCCACUAACAAAAAAUAAUUUGGGAGCCUUUGAUAAACUCACCAAGUAACGCUGACAGCAAGGAGGACUUUCCAGCACCUACCUGGCCAACUACAGCAAGCAAGGAGCCUUGGGGCACGGCAGCCUAAGAGUGGAAGCUGAACAAUGGAAGCUACUUCUCUUAUAAGACAACAAUGCUAACACAAAGGCUUACCACAGUCAGAAGUGUUUCUGCUUGAGCUCUCAGGAUUCAGUUCUUCCAGAUUCAGAAAAGCUGCUAAGCGCUUUAAAGAAACCUUGGCCUGAAAUGAAGCCCAUGAAAGAAUAAGAUUUAGAACAGAAAGGGAGCUAAAACCCAAAGUGAAGACUCAACUUGAAGACCUACUUAGAAUGUUGACUAGAGCUUUAGUUUUACUGGCAAUACAGAAAAAACCACAGAAAAGACGGGCAAACAAGGUAAAAGACUUAACGUGCAAGAGCUUCCUCCAAACUUCAAGAAGUUUGCAGGCUUUGAAGCCUCCUAUGUGCCUUCAGAUAGUCAUGGUAAGCAUGAAUAAUAAAUAUUAAGCCAUCACUUGAUGUGAAGUGUUAGCGAUACACUUCAAUACAAUACUACUUUUUUUUUUUGCUACAUGCCUACUGUAAUCAUCAGUAGCCUUGGGUUGCAUGUGAUCCUUUCUUGGAAGAGCAUGGCAGCUUUACAUUUAAAAGUAGUAUCCUAGCAUAACUCAAGUCAGUAUACCACUUCAUUUUUAUGAAGCAAAAUGUACCUGAAACUGACUCCUCUUCUUGGUGAUCAUGAAAUUGAGAGGCAAAAGAAAAAGGAAUACAGCAAUCGAAGUCAAGGCAGAUGGCCCAAGAAGCUGCCAGAGAGAAAAUGAAAGAGGAAGAACUUCUGGUGAUUCCUAGAAACGACUGUUUUCCAUUCCCCUUGCUCACCUUGCCUCUUAUUUGAACUUAAGCCUAACAUCCCCCAUGGCUAAGGCUUUACUCUAAUCUUGCCUUUGUCUUUCCUGGGAAUUGUGCUUCCUAAGCACUGUGGAUUGUUAACUCUCCAGGCAGGGUAACUCUUGUCAUCGUGCUCUGCUGAAUUUAUUUGCUUCCCUUUUAGGAACUAGAUCAGCGCUGAAAGCGAUCCAGAAGCACGCUGGCAACUCAAAUAAUUUCUGUUGCUUCCCAUCUGUUCUUCGAUGUGUUAAGGAGGACAUCUUGUGGCUGGCACAACCCAAGCAACAAUUUCUUCAGAGGAGUCCUCUUUCCUCACUGGCCAUAAGUCAUCUACCUUCAAGGACUGCUGACGGCCUUUCCAGACAAGCCUGGAAAACACACAGACUGCUGUAAGAGAACCACCAGUAUGUGAUUUUGGAAAGAAAAGAGGUGCUGGCUUCUGGACACUGAUUCUGAUGGGAGGAAAAACAUGGGUGAUAUUUAUAUAGAGAAAAGGGCAUGUGUCAGAUGAAUAUAAUCCCCUUCUCUGUGCUCCCCCAGGC